rnacentral:rRNA from 1 species
GACGGGGGGGGCAAGUGUUCUUCGGAAUGACUGGGCGUAAAGAGCGUGUAGGCGGCCAGGUAGGUCUGGUGUGAAAACUCGAGGCUUAACCUCGAGAUGUCAUCGGAAACCAUCUGGCUAGAGUCCGGAAGAGGAGAGUGGAAUUCCUGGUGUAGCGGUGAAAUGCGCAGAUAUCAGGAAGAACACCAAUGGCGAAAGCAGCUCUCUGGGACGGUACUGACGCUGAGACGCGAAAGCGUGGGGAGCGAACAGG